UACGAAGGGGGCUAGCGUUGCUCGGAAUUACUGGGCGUAAAGGGCGCGUAGGCGGAUAGUUUAGUCAGAGGUGAAAGCCCAGGGCUCAACCUUGGAACUGCCUUUGAUACUGAAGAUCUUGAGUUCGGGAGAGGUGAGUGGAACUGCGAGUGUAGAGGUGAAAUUCGUAGAUAUUCGCAAGAACACCAGUGGCGAAGGCGGCUCACUGGCCCGAUACUGACGCUGAGGCACGAAAGCGUGGGGAGCAAACAGG
rnacentral:rRNA from 1 species